CCUUCGAUAGCUCAGUUGGUAGAGCGGUGGACUGUAGAUGAAACCUUUCAAGGUCGAAUAGUAAUCCAUAGGUCGCUGGUUCAAAUCCGGCUCGAAGGA
rnacentral:tRNA from 1 species